UCCUUAAACCUUAAUUUAGAUAGACAGACGAACCUAGUUGCUUAACUAGCAAUUUUGAUCAAGAUGAUGCUUAUUUCAAAAUACACAAACCUCGGAAUGAUAAAUGAGACAAAGACCACACUUUUGACAACCCUUGACAUUAGUUUUCUAGUGCAUGCAAAUAUAAUAAAGGUAUAAUCAGAGUUCAAAGCUUUUAUCUUUAUAGUAGAUUUAUUGAUAGAGGCAUUUUUUGAGCAAAG
rnacentral:misc_RNA from 1 species